GACGAACGCUGGCGGCGUGCCUAAUACAUGCAAGUCGAGCGGACUUGUAGGAGCUUGCUCCUGCAAGUUAGCGGCGGACGGGUGAGUAACACGUGGGCAACCUACCCGUAAGACUGGGAUAACUUCGGGAAACCGAAGCUAAUACCGGAUAGGAUCCUCUCCUUCAUGGGAGAUGAUUGAAAGAUGGUUUCGGCUAUCACUUACAGAUGGGCCCGCGGUGCAUUAGCUAGUUGGUGAGGUAACGGCUCACCAAGGCAACGAUGCAUAGCCGACCUGAGAGGGUGAUCGGCCACACUGGGACUGAGACACGGCCCAGACUCCUACGGGAGGCAGCAGUAGGGAAUCUUCCGCAAUGGACGAAAGUCUGACGGAGCAACGCCGCGUGAGUGAUGAAGGCUUUCGGGUCGUAAAACUCUGUUGUUAGGGAAGAACAAGUACGAGAGUAACUGCUCGUACCUUGACGGUACCUAACCAGAAAGCCACGGCUAACUACGUGCCAGCCGCCGCGGUAACAC
rnacentral:rRNA from 1 species